rnacentral:rRNA from 1 species
CAGAUAAGGAGCUUGCUCCUUUGAUGUUAGCGGCGGACGGGUGAGUAACACGUGGGUAACCUACCUAUAAGACUGGAAUAACUCCGGGAAACCGGGGCUAAUGCCGGAUAACAUUUAGAACCGCAUGAUUCUAAAGUGAAAGAUGGUUUUGCUAUCACUUAUAGAUGGACCCGCGCCGUAUUAGCUAGUUGGUAAGGUAAUGGCUUACCAAGGCAACGAUACGUAGCCGACCUGAGAGGGUGAUCGGCCACACUGGAACUGAGACACGGUCCAGACUCCUACGGGAGGCAGCAGUAGGGAAUCUUCCGCAAUGGGCGAAAGCCUGACGGAGCAACGCCGCGUGAGUGAUGAAGGGUUUCGGCUCGUAAAACUCUGUUAUUAGGGAAGAACAAACGUGUAAGUAACUGUGCACGUCUUGACGGUACCUAAUCAGAAAGCCACGGCUAACUACGUGCCAGCAGCCGCGGUAAUACGUAGGUGGCAAGCGUUAUCCGGAAUUAUUGGGCGUAAAGCGCGCGUAGGCGGUUUCUUAAGUCUGAUGUGAAAGCCCACGGCUCAACCGUGGAGGGUCAUUGGAAACUGGGAGACUUGAGUGCAGAAGAGGAAAGUGGAAUUCCAUGUGUAGCGGUGAAAUGCGCAGAGAUAUGGAGGAACACCAGUGGCGAAGGCGACUUUCUGGUCUGUAACUGACGCUGAUGUGCGAAAGCGUGGGGAUCAAACA